AAUGAACGCUGGCGGCAGGCCUAACACAUGCAAGUCGAACGAGACCUUCAGGUCUAGUGGCGCACGGGUGCGUAACGCGUGGGAAUCUACCCUUGGGUUCGGAAUAACAGUUAGAAAUGACUGCUAAUACCGGAUGAUGACGUAAGUCCAAAGAUUUAUCGCCCAAGGAUGAGCCCGCGUAAGAUUAGCUUGUUGGUGGGGUAAUGGCCUACCAAGGCGACGAUCUUUAGCUGGCCUGAGAGGACGAUCAGCCACACUGGGACUGAGACACGGCCCAGACUCCUACGGGAGGCAGCAGUGGGGAAUAUUGGACAAUGGGCGAAAGCCUGAUCCAGCAAUGCCGCGUGAGUGAUGAAGGCCUUAGGGUUGUAAAGCUCUUUUACCAGGGAUGAUAAUGACAGUACCUGGAGAAUAAGCUCCGGCUAACUCCGUGCCAGCAGCCGCGGUAA
rnacentral:rRNA from 1 species